AUGAAGAUACCUCUUAAGAAUAAAAUCUUUGCAUGGUAUCUUCGUCACGGAGUCAUUCUUACUAAAGAUAACCUUGUUAAGAGAAAUUGGCACGGAAGUCCGCACUGUGUUUUUUGUCACCAUGAUGAUACAAUAAAACAUUUAUUCUUCCAAUGCAAAUUGGCUCGUUCUAUAUGGUCAGUCAUCCAGAUGGCUUGUGACUUGUAUCCUCCUUGUAGUGUUGCUAAUGUUUUUGGCAACUGGUUACAUUGGAUUGAUCAUAGGUUUAGAACUCUUUUUAGGGUGGGAGCGCUUGUCGUUAUUUGGUCGCUUUGGCUAAGUAGAAAUGAUAAGGUUUUUAACGAUAAAAGUACUUUUCUGAUGCAGGUUAUCUACAGAUAUAUCGGGACUCUUCGUUUAUGGUCCUCUCUAUAA
rnacentral:rRNA from 1 species